rnacentral:misc_RNA from 1 species
AUUAAAAAGGAAUGGUUUUCAUUAAUGAGUCAACAAGAACAUAUGUACAAAGAAAGUAGUGGAGAAGACAGAGGGUAAGCCAUUCACAGAAGGUAGAUUUAAAAGAAAUUGAUAUGGCUUACAACAAUUAGCCAGCCAAUUGAGUAUAAAGGGAAGUGAAUCUUUCUCCAAUUUUCUUAAUGAAAUUACACACUAAAUACUAAUAUAGAUUGACUAGAUUUGAAUAUUUACACCACUACGACUCAAAAUAUACAGAGGAAAUAAUACAACCUCUUUAACCAAAUAUAUCCCUCCUAUAUAAAUUAUGAAAACAAAGGAUACAAGAACGUAUUUUUACAACAAAAUUCUUGACAUAUCUUGCAAGUGGUUCAUCGAACAAGACUUCAUCUCACCACCAUCUAGCUUCGGAUGAGAAUUUAUCCCCGUAAUAUACACCUGAAUUUCCUCAGCCAUAUAUUCUUGCUGCAGGGUAAAAUUUUUCCUUUUUUUCCCAUAUCAUUGCCUGUUUUAGGUUGCGCCUUCUCCUUCGAAGUUGAACUGGGUGUUCAGCCAUUCGUAAAUAUGAUGCUUAUCCACAUAAGAACCACUUCUGUUUUGAUCAAUAGACUAUGGCAUAUACAGCACUUGAUCAUUUGAUAUUCCCAUUCUUGAUAGUAGUCGGCAUCAAGUUUUCAGUCUCCUUUUUGGGAGCAACCAUCUUCAACUUUUCAUUUCCUGUUUCCCUCUCUGCCUUUUUCUUUUCAAAUUCAAGGUGCUUGCAGUUUUCAUCAUGGGCUCGAACAAACAUCCUCACAAAAUUGAGCAUGGUAAACACAACUUGCUCAAAUGGACAACGAGCAGGAUCUUCCCCAAAAGAAAGGGCCAAUGCAUCUGCAUUUCUACCCACAGUAGCAUAAAGUGAAGCUGAAGAUCUCACUUCACUUUCAGCAGAACUCAGAAAUGCCUUUAGUAUCUCUUAUUGCAGUUUGAUCAUAAGAAUGGGAGUGUCAGAAAUUGUAUUUAGAUGACUAGGUCCAAAAAGGCUUUGACCUGAAUUCAUGAAAGAACCACUCAACUUAAAAACUUGAACUCUUAGGUGAUAAGGUGAAUGCGCCAAAAAUAAGUUCUCUCCUCUCUAAUAGUUGGACAUUUGAAUUGACAUUAAGCCUUCUCCAUCAAUAAAAGACAGAUCCUGCUUGUAUGAUGCAUGAUCAAGCAUAUAACAAUAUUAAUCUGCUGUGACAUCAACUUUAUUGCAAAUAAAAGAAAAAGGAAAAAAAAUAUAUUGUGUGCCUCCAAGCUUCAAUUUCCAAUAGGAAAUUUCAGCAAACAUUUUCUGAAGAGCCUUAUCUGCACAUAUGAACUCACAGUAGCUGGUAUGUCAGACUUAACCUUGCAAAAAUUUUCUGACACUUGACCAUCAUUCUCUGAAGCAGUCAAUUCCUGCACAACUUUCUCCAGCCCUUUACUAAUGGCUUGCAUUUCCUCUGCCAAAUAUUUCAAUUGUAUUUUGGUUGCAGCCUCCAAAUUUGUAAGGUCUUUUGGAAAAUCCAGCAGCUCUGGAAGCUUUUCAUCGAGCACCUUACAGAGAUAAUGCAUGAGUCAUCUUGUUAUUCCGAGCUCGAGUAUCUGUGAGUUUGAGAAGACUGUCCAACCGAAAUCCAAUAGCAGAACCCCUUACAGUUCCAUGGUUCAAGGCAUUACCCAGGGAAAGAAUAGUUUGCAUGAUCCUUUUCAACUUGACUGAGCUCUUGAUCUCUUCAGCAGCUGAAUUUACAACAUUCAAAUUUCUUCUGAGGUCAGAGACCUGGGGUUGGAAUUGUAGCUUAAAUGAAAAAACUCCUAGCUUUGACUCUACGCGUGGCACUUUCAUCAAUUCUAAGAAGAACUGUUGACACUUUCCCAAGUUCUCCUCAUCUCCAUUAUAACCCUCAAGCAAUUCCAUCUCUUCUUUUGUUGGACAGAACUUGAUAAGGUUAUCAACCUGAUCAACAUCUAGAGCUGAAUCAUCCAUGGCAAGGAUUGAACUCAUCAGGUCAGAGAGAGGAAUCUUAACCUUCAAAAGCAUGAUCUCACAAUUAUACGCCCGUCUAAGCUCAAUCAGCUAAACUUUGUCAGAUUUAGGUCCCAAGGUGCCGCGAUUUGAUUUUGCCCCAAUGCCUCCUUGACCAGUAGUUGGUGCAACUGCUGAGAAAAGAUUUUGAAGUUCUGACAAGUCAAAUUCUGGAGCCCUAGCACAGACAAAACAGAAUAAGGAAAAAGAAAAAAGCAUAAAGAGUUAUGUUAACUGAAAACAUUUCUUUAACAAACAGGUUGACAAGCACUUGGAAGCUUCAUCAGAUUUUUGUGUCUCAGCCCAAAGACUUCCUUGCAUGACUCCAGUUAAUUUUAACCAAUGAUAGGGCUUCAGGUUGGCCUUUCUAGGUUGGACCUGACUUCUCGGAUUUGGAUGUGAUAGGCCUCGCCCCUUUACAUUGAAUGGAACACCAGCAGCUGGUCCAGGAACUGAAGGCACAUUUCCAUUGCCAACUCCAGAAGGAGAUGCUGAAGAAGCAGCACAGGGUUUUGAUAACCCUUCGGAAAAAGGAGUGGGAGGUGGUGGCACAGGAGGAAUAUGUGCAGAAUUGUUAGAUGAGUUUCAAGCAGAACUAGGAGGAGAAGGUGGUGGUGGCACUUUAACAAUGCUGGAAAAGCCUGAUGCAGAUCCAGAACAUGGAGGAGGAGGAGGAGUAGGAGGUCCAGAAAUGACUGUUGAGUUUGUUACAGGCUGCAGAGAAGACACUGGGUUAACAACUAAUGAAGCAACCUCAGCAGGUGGAGGAGGAGGAAGAGUUGAAUAUAAGUUCUUGAUCGUGGAUGAUGGAGAUGUUCCUGAAACCAAAGGAUGGGGAUGGGGAGUUGAGAAUGAUUUAUUAACUUUGGGUGAUGAGGAUGCUCUGGAAAAAUAAGAGGGAGGAGGAGGGGGAGGGGGAGGCGGAGGGGGAGAAGGAGAAGGAGGUGAGAAUGAUUUCCUUUCUCUAGGUGAUGGUGAUUCCCCUGAAAAAGAAGAGGGUGGAGGAGGGGGAGGGGGAGUUGAGGAUGAACUCUCAUAGGCAGAAGGAGAUGACCCUUGAGGAGAAGGGGAUGGAAGUAGGGUAGCAGGACGCGAUAAUGACCGACUUCUAUCUGAUAAUUUUUCAGGACAAUGAUUAGGUGAAGAUUUUGUUGCUUUUGAAGUUGAUUGAGGUGGAGGAUAGUCAGCAGCAGAAAUUUUUUCUGAAGUGGUGGUAGCCUCAAUGGAACGUUGCAAUGAUGUAGAAGAUGGUGGUGGCGGCGGCGGCGGCAGCGGCGGCAGCGACAGCGACAGUGACGGUGAUGGCAGCCUUACAUGAGAGACAUGGCUGAGCUGCACAGAUUUCUGUACAUUUGUGAGAGGGGAUGAAAUUGUUGGGGAUGAAAUUGUUGAGGAUGUUAAUGUCAAUGGGCGCAUGGCUUCCUCACUGUUAGAUGCAGCAUGAUCAUGCAACAAAGCUGAAAUGCCAACGGUUGGGGAGGUGCUAUGAUAUGGAGAAGAUCGUGAAGUCUUUGACACUCUUGAGGAUAAGAUCUUCGACUGAGCAGGCCAUUGCAGUGCAACCUUUGGUUCUUGGGGUUCAACCUUCUCCAUAACUGAAUUUGCAUCUACAGAUAGUUCCCGUAGACUAGGGGAUGUGGGACUCCCACUCUUUUUCUCUACUUGAUUUAACUUCGAUUCAUGUUGAAAUUUUUCAAUGGUCAUGCUGCCUUUUUGUGCUUUCCGUGGAGAAACAGCCUCCAAAUUUUCUUGGAGUGUAGUGAUAUGCUGAAGCACAUUUAAUGCCACAUCAGGUUUUGUAUCUAGCCAGUCCACAUUGCUGAAAAUCUCUUGAACUUUAGCAAAAGCUUCCUCAGGAAGGCCACCUUUCUCCUCCAAACCCGGCAAAUCAAUUGAAGUACGGGAUGAAAUAGAAUCCAUCUCUGAAAAAAGAACCUCAGCUCUGAAGUCCUUUGGAAAUUGAUCUUUAACAUUCCAUAAUGUGUCAAUUUCAUCACGGUUAAGCAUCAAUAUAUUUGAUCUUAUAAAGGCCGUAUUGAACAUAACACGGAACAUCAUGUGUUCCCUUUCCAAAUCACUGUCCACACUAAUACAUUCCAUCACAACAUCACCUUGAAUAUGACAAUGGAUGUCUAUUUUAAUUAAAUCACAAACUUCCUGCUUGUAAUGCCGAACAAGUUUGCUCCUUUUUGGUCUCGAGAAAAGAACUUUGGGAGUUUGAUCAGCAACCAUUAAAGGGUCCUGACCAUAAAUUCUAAAUAUUGGACGGCAACCACCCUCUCCAUUCAUAUUGGGAAUAACUCUAAGAAUAACACAGUCCAGAGUAAGUGCCCUAUCCAGUGGAGGCCACUGUGAGCCCACAUUCCUUCUUGAUACAUAUUGCAGGUACCUCAGUUGUGAAGGCAAUGGAUUGAGGGGUGACAUCAGCUGCAAAAGCUCUCUAGGUGCUUGCUUGUAAAUCAUGUCUAGGGUUUUCUGCUCACCGGUGAAUUGCUUCCUAUAUAUCAAGAGUGCAGCAAGCAUGAAAGCCAAAACUGGCCAGCCACCUUGUUCGCAAUGCAUCAGUAGCACAUUUUGUUGCACAAGUGACAGCCAGCUUUCACUUGAUUUGAGAAAGUGGUGGAUCAUCUCCAUAGUGAGCAAUGGGCAACCUUCAUAGUGACGAGGAUAGUCCAUUACAGUCAUAUCAUACUCAGAUAAUAUGCUCCCAAUCUGGCUUUGGUUCUCUCCCUCUCGGAAGUUGAAGACCAUGAAUGAAGAGUCUGGAAAGUAGUCACGAAGUUGACUAACUAUGUUUCCUAUGUAGACUUUACAUUCAUCAUCUUCCAAAAUAUCUGCAGUAAAGCAGCAGUCAAAGACAUAAACCCUUUCGGAGAUUUCGAAAAGGCCGUCAGGCGGUUUUCGAUAGAAGAACUUCCUAAACAGAGCCAUUUCUAGGAGAUCCAAGAGAAAACCCCAGGAAAAGACCUAGAAAUGCACCAAUUGAAGCAACAUUGCACCAAAGACGCAGCUUCUUAAAAUCAGCUGAUAUACAGAGAUUACAGAGAAGCCAAAAUGAUGCGCAUUGAAGAAAGAAAAGCAGAAGAGGCAUGGAUUUUGCUGGGACUUGAAGAUACCGGUUGUGUGGGUAUUGUCAUUGUCUUCACAUGCACACUUUGUGUUUGUGGGUUUGUGUCAGAGAGACUUAGCUUUCAAUCAACAGAGGUUGAUAGCCACAGAGA